rnacentral:rRNA from 1 species
GUAUACCUACGGGGGGCAGCAGUGGGGAAUAUUGCACAAUGGGGGGAACCCUGAUGCAGCAACGCCGCGUGAAGGAAGAAGUAAUUCGUUAUGUAAACUUCUAUCGACAGGGAAGAAAGAAAUGACGGUACCUGAAUAAGAAGCCCCGGCUAAUUACGUGCCAGCAGCCGCGGUAAUACGUAAGGGGCAAGCGUUAUCCGGAAUUACUGGGUGUAAAGGGAGAGUAGGCGGCAAGGUAAGCGAUAUGUGAAAGCCUUAAGCUUAACUAAAGGAUUGCAUAACGAACUAUCUAGCUAGAGUACAGG